rnacentral:rRNA from 1 species
AUACGGAGGGCGCAAGCGUUGUUCGGAAUUACUGGGCGUAAAGCGCGUGUAGGCGGCUUGGCAAGUCGGUUGUGAAAUCCCGGGGCUCAACCCCGGAACUGCAUCCGAAACUGUCUCGCUAGAGUCCCGGAGAGGAAGGCAGAAUUCCCAGUGUAGGGGUGAAAUCCGUAGAUAUUGGGAGGAAUACCAGUGGCGAAGGCGGCCUUCUGGACGGUGACUGACGCUCAGACGCGAAAGCGUGGGGAGCAAACAGGAUUAGAAACCCUAGUAGUCC